AAUUGGAUUCUAUGAUUUUUCCUCUCUUCAUCAGACUCUAUCUCCAGGCCACCCAACAACAACCCUAUUAAAAUCUCCCUCUGUUCUUUACUCAACUUCAAGCUUAGUGGCUUCUUAACCUCCUUCCUACUUAAGCUUAGGACAUAAUCAAGUUUCUCCAUUAAUGGAGGAUCAAUGUCAUACUUCUUCUGACACAUCAAAUCAUAUAUUUUUUCAGCCUUCAAAUAAUUUCCAAAUAAAAG
rnacentral:misc_RNA from 1 species